rnacentral:rRNA from 1 species
AGCGAACGCUGGCGGCAGGCUUAACACAUGCAAGUCGAGCGGGCGUAGCAAUACGUCAGUGGCAGACGGGUGAGUAACGCGUGGGAACAUACCUUUUGGUUCGGAACAACACAGGGAAACUUGUGCUAAUACCGGAUAAGCCCUUACGGGGAAAGAUUUAUCGCCGAAAGAUUGGCCCGCGUCUGAUUAGCUAGUUGGUGAGGUAACGGCUCACCAAGGCGACGAUCAGUAGCUGGCUGAGAGGAUGAUCAGCCACAUUGGGACUGAGACACGGCCCAAACUCCUACGGGAGGCAGCAGUGGGGAAUAUUGGGCAAUGGGCGAAAGCCUGAUCCAGCCAUGCCGCGUGAGUGAUGAAGGCCCUAGGGUUGUAAAGCUCUUUUGUGCGGGAAGAUAAUGACGGUACCGCAAGAAUAAGCCCCGGCUAACUUCGUGCCAGCAGCCGCCGUAAC